UAUGAUUUAACUAUCUGUUAAUUUACCAAAAAAUUGGAACAACUAGUCCUUACUGAGAUCCAUUCAAACAUGGAGAGGAUACGCAUCAACCAAAGAAAUUCGACUAUUCAAUCAUUAAUGCCACACGUACGUGGUUCUUUUAAAUGCAUAACCUCUCCAUCAGUUUUCGAAUGGAACCGCGCUUCGUUAUAGUAUAUUCCGGAGUUGCUGCUGACCAUGUAUUCCGAUAGAAUCAGCUGCUGUAUCCUAUGCAUUUUUUACACUCGAAAGGAAACGAAUAUAUGUACUCGCUUUGAAGAAGGAAAGAGAAAAGGAAAUAGUAGGGAAUAUAUCAAAAGAGAAAAUAAUUUAAGAUCUGUUUCUUCUUUUUGCGCUGUGCUAUACUUUUUGCACGCGAGAUAAAUGCAUAUGUUGCUGUGAGUUAGAAGAGAGACAAUUAGCGUAAUUGAUAUAGUUAAAUGGACCAAGCUUUUCGUGCAGCACCGCCGCAUUACGAACCGGAAACGGAUAUUGAGAUGUUGAAAUGGUUGAAAUAUCUUUUUCUCUGAAAUUGAAGAGAUAACGUUUCCGUCUUCUUUCCGACUAUAUACUUUAUACUUACGUUGUUCCUUUUGUGUUGUUUUCCUUUCUAAGGUUUUGUAAUUGGAAUUUGCUUCUAUUGCUUUCAUUGCAUCGUAGAACUAUCUCAAGGACUGUAACGAAAAUAAAGACUGACGUUAAUUCCAUUAUAUGAAUAAAGGCAUUGGGUUGACAAAGUAUUCAGAUCAUGUCAGGUCCAUGGUCUUUAAUUGGAAGAGACGAUAAUACUUCUUAUCAAGAUGUAUUUUAUACCCACAAUAGUGUCACUGCAGUCAUCACACCGAAAAAAUUCAUGCAAUACAGCCAAUGAGAUUUAAAUAGAGAUUAAAUAAAGUAGAGACUAGAUAUAGAAAAUUUAAAAGAACAAGCAUAAUUAUAGAACCAGAUGACAUCUUCAGAUAAAUUUUUUUGUAGAACCAGAUGACAUCUUCAGAUAAAAUCAGAUUUAUGGCCUUUAAUCGGAGAAGACGGAAACGCUUCCCAUCAAGAUGUAUUUUACGCCCACGAUAACAUUAUUGCAGUCGUCAUUUAAGCUAAGAGGUCGUCGUUCAUCGGUGCGCUUCUUACCAUCAAAUAAUACAAAUAAAUUCUUAAAUAGUACAUAAGAUAGAAAAGUAAUUUUAUAUUAAUUAGAAACAAUGACAUAAAUUUCAUUUUACAUAAAUUUUUGUCUGCAUUUUCUCAUA